AUUGAACGCUGGCGGCAGGCCUAACACAUGCAAGUCGAGCGAGCGGCGGACGGGUGAGUAAUGCCUGGGAAUUGCCCAGUCGAGGGGGAUAACAGUUGGAAACGACUGCUAAUACCGCAUACGAUUGGAUUGCCCAGGUUGGAUUAGCUAGUUGGUGAGGUAAUGUCUCACCAAGGCGACGAUACCUAGCUGGUCUGAGAGGAUGAUCGGCUCGACUGGAACUGAGACACGGUCCGGACUCCUACGAGGAGCAGCAGUGGGGAAAAUUGCACAAUGGGGAAAACCCUGAUGCAGCCAUGCCGCGUGUGUGAAGAAGGCCUUCGGGUUGUAAAGCACUUUCAGCGAGGAGUCGUUACUCGCAGAAGAAGCACCGGCUAACGCCGUGGCAGCAGCCGCGGUAAUUC
rnacentral:rRNA from 1 species